rnacentral:rRNA from 1 species
GACGAACGCUGGCGGCGUGCUUAACACAUGCAAGUCGAACGGAAAGGCCUGCUUUCCCUUGUGGAUUGCGGGUACUCGAGUGGCGAACGGGUGAGUAACACGUGAGUGAUCUGCCCCCAACUUGGGUAUAAGCCUGGGAAACUGGGUCUAAUUCCCGAUAGGACUGCAGGGUGGUGCCUGUGGUGGAAAACGAUUUUCUAGUGGUUGGGGAUGAGCUCGCGGCCUAUCAGCUUGUUGGUGGGGUAAUGGCCUACCAAGGCGGCGACGGGUAGCCGGCCUGAGAGGGUGGACGGCCACAUUGGGACUGAGAUACGGCCCAGAAUCCUACGGGAGGCAGCAGUGGGGAAUAUUGCGCAAUGGGCGGAAGCCUGAUGCAGCGACGCCGCGUGGGGGAUGACGGCCUUCGGGUUGUAAACUCCUUUCGACCGCGAGGAAGCCACCUGGUUGGAAGGGUGGUGACGGUAGUGGUAGAAGAAGCACCGGCUAACUACGUG